AACAUUUUUUGGAGCAACGAGCAAGAGCGAAUUGGUUAAUAUUAGGAGAUAAGAACAUUUAUUUUUUUCACAAGUUUUCUUCUCAGAGAAGGUGUACAAAUUGUAUUCGUGGUUUGCAAAGAAAUGAUGGUUCUCUUGCUACAGAUUGUAGUAAAACUGGGAAUAUUGCUUGCAAUUAUUUUGUAGAUCUUUUCGAGUCUCGCUACAUAGGAAACUUGGAUCAUAUCUUGUCGGGGUUACCGCGUUGCACCUCUGACAGUAUGAAUCAAAGUUUUGUGGUUACUUAUACAGAAGAAGAAAUUAUUAUGGCUUUGAAAGGAAUUGGGCCCACAAAAGCUUCAAGACCUGAUGGUUUUCCGGCAAUCUUUUACCAAAAGUAUUGGCACAUUAUUGGUAAAGAUACCAGCAUGUUCUGUUUGGAUAUUUUGAAUAAUGGUAAAGCUUUGGAUGAGAUAAAUAGAACACAGCUGGUUCUAAUCCCCAAAAUCUCGAAUCCCCUCAAUUUGAAGAGUUUUUGACCGAUUAGCCUUUAUACAGUAAUUUAUAAAAUUAUUGCCAAAACAGUUACUAACCGUUUACAAAAAGUGUUGGAUGAUUGUAUUGACGACUCUUAAAGUGCCUUUGUACAGGGUAGACUCAUUACUGACAAUGUUUUGCUGGCAUAUCAAGUACUUCAUUCUUUUAAGAACAAAAGAACAAAAAAAUCCAAUCCAGGAACAAAAAAUUUUGUCAAAGGGAUUAUGUCAAGGGGGUCCUUUAAGUCCUUAUUUAUUUUUAUUCUGUGGAGAGGGGCUAUCUACGCUAAUGAGAAUUGCAAGCCAGGAACAAAAAAUUUUGGGUGCAAAGGUUUGUAGAUCGACUCCACCAAUCACCAAUCUUAGGUUUGCGGACGAUUGUAUACUGUUUGAAGAGGUUUCAAAUAGGUGAAUUCAGGUGAUUUGAGACAUAUUAAAAGAAUAUGAGCUUUGUUAGGGUCAGUGUGUAAAUUUUAAAAAGUCCACGAGCUUUUUCAGUUCAAAUGUGAAUGAUCAAGAUAAAAACUUGGUUGUUCAGUUUCUUAAUGUUCAUUAUUCGAGUGAGCCAGAGAAGUAUCUGAGUUUACCGAAUAUGGUGGGACGAAAAAAGAAAUUGGCUUUUCAAACCUUGAAGGACAGUUUGAAACAGAAGAUCAACAGUUGGAGUAUACAAUAUAUUUCUCAGGGUGGAAAAGAGAUAUUUAUAAGAGCAGUUUUACAAGCAAUCCCUACUUAUACAAUGUCUUGUUUUCCUUUACCAAAAAUGUUAUGUGUGGCAAAAAAUUCAUAGAAAAAGAGGACUGCACUGGUGUGAUUGGAAAUCGUUAUGCGUUCCAAAGAAGGAAGGUGGGAUGGGGUUCCGUAACAUGAAUCCUUUUAAUAUCGCGUUAUUGGCAAAACAGAGUUGACGCUAAUUCUUUACUAGCGCGUACUUUGAAGGCCAAAUAUUUUAAAAAUUCAGAUUUUUUAAAUUCCAGUUUAGGAAACUUACCUUCUCUUACCUGACAGAGUCUGUGAUCUGCAAAAGAACUCAUUAUGAAGGGAUUGGGGUGGAGGAUUGGUGAUGGGAAGAAUGUCUCUAUCUGGGGAGAUGCAUAGGUCCCUGGAAGUAAUGAUUUCAGAGUUUAAAAUUUAAAUGCCAAUUCAAGUUUGUCCACAGUAUCAGAUUUAAUUGAAGAAAACACGAGAGAAUGAAAAGCAGAGCUGAUAAACAAUACCUUCCUGGCAAAGGAUGCAGAGCGAAUUCUAUGUAUUCCUUUAUCCAUAAACCAGCAAAAAGAUCAUAUAAUCUAGCGAGGCGAGCUGACGGGGGAGUACACAGUUCGGAGCAGGCACAAACUACUUUUACAUGACGAGCAGAAUCAAACACAAUCAAAUUACAGGCAAUUUUACAAAAUAUUAUGGAGCCUUGAUCUACCUCCAAAAAUUAAAAUUACAAACUAGAUGUUUUUUUGUAAUUUUAUGCCUACUUUUUGUAAUCUAAACUAUAAAAGACUGAUGGCAUCCGCAAAUUACCGAAAGUGCCAAAAUGAGGUGGAAACGAGAGAGCAUGUAUUCAAAAAGUGUCCUGUUGCAAAGGAGACGUGGGAAAAGUUAGGUUUUAACUGGCCAACUCCUAAAGAAAAUGCUAGUUUUGAAGAUUGGCUUAAAUGCAUUUUUGAGUCAAACUUUUUGAAUAAAUGUAGGGUGAUUGCAUGUGCUUUGUAGGUGAUUUGGACUUCAAGAAACAGGUUUAUUCAUGAAGGAGAAGAACAAACUGGUUCUCAAAUGGCAGAUUUUAUAACAAACUACAUCAAAGAACUUGAUGGGUUGAGUAUGUGCUUACCAAUGAAUCGACUUCAUUCAAGUAGAUGGGUUGAGCUGACUGAUCCUUGGGUUAGAAUCAAUUUUGAUGCUGCUUUUAACAAGGAAAAGAAUGAUUCAAGCUCGGGAUUAUUGAUACGGAAUGCUCGGGCAGAGGUGAUUUGUUCAAACUCAGUUUUUCAUGAAAAUAUACCUUCUGCUUUUGUUGCGAAAGCAAUGGCGUGUCUUCAGGUGGUCCAUCUCGAGCUAUUUCUCGGGUUGAGGGAAGUUGAGAUUGAAGGUGAUUCUCGGUCGGUGAUUCAGAAACUGUAAGAAGAAAAGGAAGAUAGAUCAGAAAUUGAAGUUUUCAUUAAAGAUACAAAGCAUCUGAGUUUAGGUUUUGAAUCUUGUAUUUUUCGGUUUAUCCCUAGAGAGGCUAACAAGGUUGCACAUUUCAUAGCAAAAGAUGGGUUACAGAAGAGAGAAUCAACUUACUUGCUGGGCAUGGUUACGUCUGGAGUGGUGGAAGCUAUGGUGGUCGAUCGAAGAUGGAUAGAUUCUGUGGGGGACUGAAUCCCCGAAUUUGCUGAAGGAAAGUUUUGGGGAAGAAGUUUUUGAAUAGUUAAGAGGAGUUGUUGUUUUUUAGAAGUUUUUCUGUGGGAAGUGAUGGCUCCUGCAAAAAUUAAUGGAAACAAUUAUGUCUUACUGCGUUUUCCCAGGUGUAUUUGUUGCUUUUGAGGGAUGGGUUUAUUAAUUGGUUCACAGCUGGCUGCAGAAGUCUGUAGAGCUCCCCGUCCUGCUUAGCUGGAUCUUUUGUUAUUUUCGUUUAUGUUUUUCUUUUGCCUGGGCCUGUUAGGCAUAGUUUUAGGCUAUUUUGUUCUGUUUUGUUUGACCCAAGCCUGCUUGGUCUUUUGGAGUUGGUUCGCUUUUGUUGAAUAAAAGAUCCAGAUGUUUUUACUCAAAAAAAAUCC
rnacentral:lncRNA from 1 species